GAUGAACGCUGGCGGCGUGCCUAAUACAUGCAAGUCGAGCGAACGGACGAGAAGUUUGUUUCUCUGAUGUUAUCCGCGGAGGGGUGAGUAACACGUGGAAAACCUAUCUUUAAGACUGGGAUAACUUCGGGAAACCGGAUCUAAUCCCGUAUAAUAUUUUGAACCGUAUGGUUCAAAAGUGAAAUACGGUCUUGUCGUUACUUAUAGAUGGUUCCACGCUGCAUUAGCUAGUUGGUAGGGUAACGGCUUACCAAGGCAACGAACCAUAGCCGACCUGAGAGGGUGAUCGGCCACACUGGAACUGAAACACGGUCAAGACUCCUACGGGAGGAGGCAGUAGGGAAUCUUCCGAAAUGAGCGAAAGCCUAACGGGGAAACGCGGGGUGAGUGAUGAAGGUCUUGGGAUCGAAAAACCCUGUUAUUAGGGAAGAACAGAUGUGUAAGUAACUGUGCACAUCGUGACGGUACCUAAUCAGAAAGCCACGGCUAACUACGUG
rnacentral:rRNA from 1 species